GUGUUUUCCUUAAGCUUCCAGAAUCACAACAUUCAACCUAGUCUGUUCCUGCAAACCCCCAACGAUUUAUGUGUUUAUUUAACUCGGUGAAGACCCUUCAGCUCCGUUAUUGGAUUGGCAUUUCUGGGAUACGGAUGACCCCGGUCUGGUUAAAGUCUUCUAAUUUGCAACCUUUAGGGGACACUUGCCAUGUUACCUCUGGGUGGCUCCCGGCAUGCUCAUUGAUUACAUUUGCAGCUAGAAAAGAAGGAAAACUGCUCAAAACAAAAACAAAAACAAACCAACAAACCCCCCAGGAAGGAAGAGCGGAGGAGGGAGCCCUGCAUGAGGACAAGUUUAAAUCGAGAGAAUCCGUCACCUCAGGCUACGGCUGCUCGUUACACAGUUGUGUAAACAUUUACAAAGACAGGACCCAAUAGGGUAAGAUCGGGGUUGGCAGUCGACUGUGCGUGAGUGUGAGUGGGGUUCUGAGGUUUCAAAGAAAGGACUUGACCAAUCCUUUGUCAGUUUCUUUUUUUUUCAAAACGCUUCCUUUAGGUAAACACACACACACACACACACACACACACAAGAAACAA